rnacentral:misc_RNA from 1 species
CAAAAAAAAAAAAAAAAAAGAGUAUUUGUGCAUGAUAUAUUCAUAUUCUGCAUAAGAAAAGCAUAAAGUUUCAUAUUACAAAAAGUUCCAGCGAUAUGCGUGAUGUGCAACUCAGGGUUCAAAUAGAGUAAAAGACCAUCUUCUCACCAAUUUCCAAUCCUAGCAUUAAACAUGUCCACAGUCCGGGUUGGGCUCAAAACCAGCCUGGUCUACCAAGAACCAGAACAGGUAAACAGUAUACAGGCCAAACCGGACCAGAACCUUCAGUCCCUUGAAUUGAACAGGCAGUCUAGUUCAUACUCAACUCAACUCAACUCAA